AGUGGACGCUGGCGGCGUGCCUAAUACAUGCAAGUCGAACGGAAUUUAAGAGGGCUUGCUCUUUUAAAUUUAGUGGCGCACGGGUGAGUAAUAUAUAGCUAAUCUGCCCCUUGCUGGAGGACAACAGUUAGAAAUGACUGCUAAUACUCCAUACUCCUUUUUACCAUAAGAUAAAUCGGGAAAGAAUUUCGGCAAGGGAUGAGACUAUAUCGUAUCAGCUAGUCGGUGGGGUAACGGCCUACCGAGGCUAUGACGCGUAACUGGUCUGAGAGGAUGAUCAGUCACAUUGGAACUGAGACACGGUCCAAACUCCUACGGGAGGCAGCAGUAGGGAAUAUUGCACAAUGGGGGGAACCCUGAUGCAGCAACGCCGCGUGAGUGAAGAAGGCAUUCGUGUCGUAAAACUCUGUAGUAGGGGAAGAAAGAAAUGACAGUACCCUAAAAGAAAGCCCCGGCUAACUACGUGCCAGCAGCCGCGGUAAUACGGAAGGUCCUGGCGUUAUCCGGAUUUAUUGGGUUUAAAGGGAGCGUAGGCCGUGGAUUAAGCGUGUUGUGAAAUGCAGGUGCUCAACGUCUGCACUGCAGCGCGAACUGGUCCACUUGAGUGUGCGCAACGCAGGCGGAAUUCGUCGUGUAGCGGUGAAAUGCUUAGAUAUGACGAAGAACUCCGAUUGCGAAUGCAGCUUGCGGGAGCACAACUGACGCUGAAGCUCGAAAGUGCGGGUAUCGAACAGGUUAGAUACCCUUGUAGUCCAAGGGCGAAUUCCACAUUGGGCUGCAGCCCGGGGGAUCCACUAGUUCUAGAGCGGCCGCACCGCGGGAGCUCCAAUUCGCCACAAUAGUGAGUCGUAUUACGCGCACUCACUGGCGUC
rnacentral:rRNA from 1 species